rnacentral:misc_RNA from 1 species
GGAAGAGUACUCUCACUGAUGCUUGAAUUCAAUAAGUGUUCAUCAAAAAUUUCACCGGUACUCUCAGAGUUCAGAAUAUCAACUUGAAUUGCACCUGAAGAUUCCCGCUUAAGGCUUACUUCCGUGUCAGGUAGCAUAUCACCAUGCACUGGUGAAUCUUCGUUGACAAAUUGUUCACCUUCUGUCUCUGGCUUCGCAUUGCUUCUGUGUGAAUCGCUUACAUCCUGCUUGUCAUUAGAAACAAGGGGAAUAAUACUCUCAGUACCUUCAACACUGUAUGAUUUUGUAUUUUCCAGUAUUUG